rnacentral:rRNA from 1 species
GACGAACGCUGGCGGCGUGCUUAACACAUGCAAGUCGAACGGAAAGGCCCUGCUUUUGUGGGGUGCUCGAGUGGCGAACGGGUGAGUAACACGUGAGUAACCUGCCCUUGACUUUGGGAUAACUUCAGGAAACUGGGGCUAAUACCGGAUAGGAGCUCCUGCUGCAUGGUGGGGGUUGGAAAGUUUCGGCGGUUGGGGAUGGACUCGCGGGUUAUCAGCUUGUUGGUGGGGUAGUGGCUUACCAAGGCUUUGACGGGUAGCCGGCCUGAGAGGGUGACCGGCCACAUUGGGACUGAGAUACGGCCCAGACUCCUAAGGGAGGAAGCAGUGGGGAAUAUUGCACAAUGGGCGGAAGCCUGAUGCAGCAACGCCGCGUGCGGGAUGACGGCCUUCGGGUUGUAAACCGCUUUCGCCUGUGACGAAGCGUGAGUGGCGGUAAUGGGUAAAGAAGCACCGGCUAACUACGUG